rnacentral:rRNA from 1 species
GUUAAAAAGCUCGUAGUUGGAUUUCGGAGUGGGCCAGUUGGUCCGCCGCAAGGUGUGUUACUGACUGGUUUGCUCUUCUUCGCAAAGACUGCGUGUGCUCUUGAGUGAGUGUGCGUAGGAUUUACGACGUUUACUUUGAAAAAAUUAGAGUGUUCAAAGCAGGCUAUUGCUUGAAUACAUGAGCAUGGAAUAAUGGAAUAGGACUUUGGUCCCAUUUUGUUGGUUUCUAGGGCCGAAGUAAUGAUUAAGAGGGACAAUUGGGGGCAUCCGUAUUUCGUUGUCAGAGGUGAAAUUCUUGGAUUUACGAAAGACGAA